AUGGACUUGAUCCAAAGUCAUUUCUGUCAAUGGAAAGAUUCCCACUGACUUUGAUGGGCUUUGGAUCAGGUCUCUAA
rnacentral:miRNA from 1 species